rnacentral:misc_RNA from 1 species
GAAAUGCGAUAAGUAAUGUGAAUUGCAGAAUUCAGUGAAUCAUCGAAUCUUUGAACGCACAUUGCGCCCCCUGGUAUUCCGGGGGGCAUGCCUGUUCGAGCGUCAUUUCACCACUCAAGCCUCGCUUGGUAUUGGGCGACGCGGUCCGCCGCGCGCCUCAAAUCGACCGGCUGGGUCUUCCGUCCCCUCAGCGUUGUGGAAACUAUUCGCUAAAGGGUGCCGCGGGAGGCCACGCCGUAAAACAACCCCAUUUCUAAGGUUGACCUCGGAUCAGGUAGGGAUACCCGCUGAACUUAAGC